UGCGGAAGGAUCAUUACCGAGUGAGGGCCCUCUGGGUCCAACCUCCCACCCGUGUCUAUCGUACCUUGUUGCUUCGGCGGGCCCGCCGUUUCGACGGCCGCCGGGGAGGCCUUGCGCCCCCGGGCCCGCGCCCGCCGAAGACCCCAACAUGAACGCUGUUCUGAAAGUAUGCAGUCUGAGUUGAUUAUCGUAAUCAGUUAAAACUUUCAACAACGGAUCUCUUGGUUCCGGCAUCGAUGAAGAACGCAGCGAAAUGCGAUAAGUAAUGUGAAUUGCAGAAUUCAGUGAAUCAUCGAGUCUUUGAACGCACAUUGCGCCCCCUGGUAUUCCGGGGGGCAUGCCUGUCCGAGCGUCAUUGCUGCCCUCAAGCACGGCUUGUGUGUUGGGCCCCCGUCCCCCUCUCCCGGGGGACGGGCCCGAAAGGCAGCGGCGGCACCGCGUCCGGUCCUCGAGCGUAUGGGGCUUUGUCACCUGCUCUGUAGGCCCGGCCGGCGCCAGCCGACACCCAACUUUAUUUUUCUAAGGUUGACCUCGGAUCAGGUAGGGAUACCCGCUGAACUUAAGCAUAUCA
rnacentral:rRNA from 1 species